AAUACAUAAAAAAAAAAUUAUGAUUGCAUAUAAAGAAACGUGUUUUGGAAACAAAAACAUUUGAUUGCUGUCAAAUUUCGCUCGCGAAACAAUUAAAAAUUUCAGCUGCUACUCCGAAAGCGGAAUAAUAGAAUACCAACUCUAUGGUUAUGCAUUUUAGUUGCUGCCAGCAUGCAGCAAUGUUUUUUUGCAGCCAUUUGACAACAAUUUUGGCCCAUUGGUGGACGAAAACUGGUAAUUUACCUUCGGAUAGAGUUAGAUCGAAUAUGCCUCUUCACACAACUGUUGUUAAUUUUUGUGGACCAUUCUUCUACAAAUUGAAUCGCUUGAAGGGCUUUGGGAAGAAGCUGCAAAGUCCGCCAAAUUUAAUUUUUACAGAGUUGUUGGACUCAACAUUUAACACUUAAUGAGCUAAGGUCUUUAGUAUGCCAAAUAUCAGUUAUCUUAAAUUCUCGCCCAUUGUGUCCUCUUUCAGAACAUUCAGAUCACUUGGAUGUAUUCACCCCAGGACACUUUUUAGAAGGCGCUCCACUAGUCUUUACCCCAGACCCAAAUAUAACAUGGGUCAAUUUCGGCCGUCUCAAUAGCUGACAAAAGGUCUCCGAACUGCAAUAAAAUUUCUAGCGAAAAUGGAGUAGCUUCUACCCUCUCUCUUGCUAAAGUGAACAAAAUGGCAACAAAAGGUGAAGGAAUUUCUCUAAAAUGUUUGGUGCUCAUUAAAUACGACAAUUUACCAAUAAUCGACCCAUAAAUCAUCGCUUUUUUUAUUUUUUAAAUAAAAGACCGUAAAAAAUA